rnacentral:rRNA from 1 species
GAUGAACGCUGGCGGCGUGCCUAACACAUGCAAGUCGAGCGAUUCUCUUCGGAGAAGAGCGGCGGACGGGUGAGUAACGCGUGGGUAACCUGCCCUGUACACACGGAUAACAUACCGAAAGGUAUGCUAAUACGGGAUAAUGUAUUUUGAUCGCAUGGUCGAAAUAUCAAAGCUUUUGCGGUACAGGAUGGACCCGCGUCUGAUUAGCUAGUUGGUGAGGUAAUGGCUCACCAAGGCGACGAUCAGUAGCCGACCUGAGAGGGUGAUCGGCCACAUUGGAACUGAGACACGGUCCAAACUCCUACGGGAGGCAGCAGUGGGGAAUAUUGCACAAUGGGCGAAAGCCUGAUGCAGCAACGCCGCGUGAGCGAUGAAGGCCUUCGGGUCGUAAAGCUCUGUCCUCAAGGAAGAUAAUGACGGUACUUGAGGAGGAAGCCCCGGCUAACUACGUGCCAGCAGCCGCGGUAAUACGUAGGGGGCUAGCGUUAUCCGGAAUUACUGGGCGUAAAGGGUGCGUAGGUGGUUUCUUAAGUCAGAGGUGAAAGGCUACGGCUCAACCGUAGUAAGCCUUUGAAACUGAGAAACUUGAGUGCAGGAGAGGAGAGUAGAAUUCCUAGUGUAGCGGUGAAAUGCGUAGAUAUUAGGAGGAAUACCAGUUGCGAAGGCGGCUCUCUGGACUGUAACUGACACUGAGGCACGAAAGCGUGGGGAGCAAACAGGAUUAGAUACCCUGGUAGUCCACGCCGUAAACGAUGAGUACUAGCUGUCGGAGGUUACCCCCUUCGGUGGCGCAGCUAACGCAUUAAGUACUCCGCCUGGGAAGUACGCUCGCAAGAGUGAAACUCAAAGGAAUUGACGGGGACCCGCACAAGUAGCGGAGCAUGUGGUUUAAUUCGAAGCAACGCGAAGAACCUUACCUAAGCUUGACAUCCUUCUGACCUCUCCCUAAUCGGAGAUUUCCCUUCGGGGACAGAAGUGACAGGUGGUGCAUGGUUGUCGUCAGCUCGUGUCGUGAGAUGUUGGGUUAAGUCCCGCAACGAGCGCAACCCUUGCCUUUAGUUGCCAGCAUUAAGUUGGGCACUCUAGAGGGACUGCCAGGGAUAACCUGGAGGAAGGUGGGGAUGACGUCAAAUCAUCAUGCCCCUUAUGCUUAGGGCUACACACGUGCUACAAUGGGUGGUACAGAGGGUUGCCAAACCGUGAGGUGGAGCUAAUCCCUUAAAGCCAUUCUCAGUUCGGAUUGUAGGCUGAAACUCGCCUACAUGAAGCUGGAGUUACUAGUAAUCGCAGAUCAGAAUGCUGCGGUGAAUGCGUUCCCGGGUCUUGUACACACCGCCCGUCACACCACGGGAGUUGGGGGCGCCCGAAGCCAGAUAGCUAACCUUUUGGAAGCGUCUGUCGAAGGUGAAAUCAAUAACUGGGGUGAAGUCGUAACAAGGUAGCCGUAUCGGAAGGUGCGGCUGGAUCACCUCCUUUCUAAGGAGAAUUACCUACUGUUUGAUUUUGAGGGUUCAUUGUAAAAUGAAUACUCAACAGAGUAUAGUACUUUGAAAACUGCAUAGCAUUUAGUGAUAUGACAUCAUUUUAUAUAUAGACAAGAUAAGUCUUUAAAAUAUCAAACCUAGUAAUUAAGUUUUUUAACUUAUUACAAACUUUGAGCAAUGGGACAUGAGCGAAUGCGAAUGGACAUUGGCGAAGUACUUUAAUAACUUGGUCAAGUUAUUAAGGGUGCAGGGCGGAUGCCUUGGCACUAGGAGCCGAUGAAGGACGUGAUAAGCUGCGAUAAGCUUCGGGGAGUUGCACGUAAACUUUGAUCCGAAGAUUUCCGAAUGAGGAAACUCACUUAGAGUAAUGUCUAAGUAUCGUUAAGUGAAUACAUAGCUUAGCGAGGGGAACCCGGGGAACUGAAACAUCUAAGUACCCGGAGGAAAAGAAAGAAAUUCGAUUCCGUAAGUAGCGGCGAGCGAACGCGGAACAGGCCAAACCAAUGAAGUUUUCUUUGUUGGGGUUGCGGACAUGCAACAUGGAUGCACUAUCGUAAAUGAAGAGAGUUGGAAAGCUCCGCCAAAGAAGGUAAUAGCCCUGUAAUUGAAACGAGAAAGCUACUAGCAUGAUCCAGAGUACCACGGGACACGUGAAACCCUGUGGGAAGCAGGAGGGACCAUCCUCCAAGCCUAAAUACUACCUAGUGACCGAUAGCGCAU